GUCCUCUCAGGGUCGCACCUGGAGAGUUUCCAAGACUCUACCAGUCUCGACUACGGGAGGGAGAGUCAAGCGGAGGCCUUUCCAUUCCAUUCCUAGCUUGGGCAGUGGCGAGCGAGUGGUAGGCAACCUGCUACAAGU